rnacentral:rRNA from 1 species
AGUCGAGGGGCAGCAUGGUCUUAGCUUGCUAGGCCGAUGGCGACCGGCGCACGGGUGAGUAACACGUAUCCAACCUGCCGUCUACUCUUGGACAGCCUUCUGAAAGGAAGAUUAAUACAAGAUGGCAUCAUGAGUCCGCAUGUUCACAUGAUUAAAGGUAUUCCGGUAGACGAUGGGGAUGCGUUCCAUUAGAUAGUAGGCGGGGUAACGGCCCACCUAGUCUUCGAUGGAUAGGGGUUCUGAGAGGAAGGUCCCCCACAUUGGAACUGAGACACGGUCCAAACUCCUACGGGAGGCAGCAGUGAGGAAUAUUGGUCAAUGGGCGAGAGCCUGAACCAGCCAAGUAGCGUGAAGGAUGACUGCCCUAUGGGUUGUAAACUUCUUUUAUAAAGGAAUAAAGUCGGGUAUGGAUACCCGUUUGCAUGUACUUUAUGAAUAAGGAUCGGCUAACUCCGUGCCAGCAGCCGCGGUAAUACGGAGGAUCCGAGCGUUAUCCGGAUUUAUUGGGUUUAAAGGGAGCGUAGAUGGAUGUUUAAGUCAGUUGUGAAAGUUUGCGGCUCAACCGUAAAAUUGCAGUUGAUACUGGAUAUCUUGAGUGCAGUUGAGGCAGGCGGAAUUCGUGGUGUAGCGGUGAAAUGCUUAGAUAUCACGAAGAACUCCGAUUGCGAAGGCAGCCUGCUA